GCAAAGUCCCUGUACUCAGGGAAGUCCUGGGACACCCGGUGGUUCACACACAUCAUCUUGACUGGGACAGGACAGCAAGCCAAGGAUCCAUAAAUGGAAGCUAAUCGAAUCCUGACAUUGACUUGUGAUUGAGGACUCAAGCAGAUUCUAUCCCUGCCCAGACUCACGACCUUUCUAGCUGUUCUUAGCAAUAAGUGUGUCACCAGGAGCAAAUUGGCCUGUCAGGAAGGACAAAGACACACAGGACAGCCAGAACUUGUCUCUUGUUCCUUGAGUGCACCGUAGCCAUUUGAUUCUGGAAGAAGACAGUCAGGACACACAAACAGUAGUGUGUGGUGUGUUGAGAACUUUGGAGGAGGACGUCCUUGCUCUGUGGUAUCCAGCAUGCAUCAGCUGCUCCUGUGAUUGAGAUCUUUUGUGAAAUGUCGCUUCUGCUUUCUCCACAGAGAACUCUGAAAGGUUCUUGAGAAUGACACAUCUCUAGCAAGCCAUGAGGGCCAAAUGUUCCUAAAUUAAUUUCAUCUGUAACCUUG